CCAUCUAAAGAUAAGUACGGCUAAAGCGGCUGACUUGUAAUCAGCAGGUCGCGCGUUCAAUUCGCGCCUGGGGCUCCA
rnacentral:tRNA from 1 species